GAUGAACGCUGGCGGCGUGCCUAAUACAUGCAAGUCGAGCGAACAGACGAGGAGCUUGCUCCUCUGACGUUAGCGGCGGACGGGUGAGUAACACGUGGAUAACCUACCUAUAAGACUGGGAUAACUUCGGGAAACCGGAGCUAAUACCGGAUAAUAUAUUGAACCGCAUGGUUCAAUAGUGAAAGACGGUUUUGCUGUCACUUACAGAUGGAUCCGCGCCGCAUUAGCUAGUUGGUAAGGUAACGGCUUACCAAGGCAACGAUGCGUAGCCGACCUGAGAGCGUGAUCGGCCACACUGGAACUGAGACACGGUCCAGACUCCUACGGGAGGCAGCAGUAGCGAAUCUUCCGCAAAGGGCGAAAGCCUGACGGAGCCACGCCGCGUGAGUGAUGAAGGUCUUCGGAUCGUAAAACUCUGUUAUUAGGGAAGAACAAAUGUGUAAGUAACUAUGCACGUCUUGACGGUACCUAAUCAGAAAGCCACGGCUAACUACGUG
rnacentral:rRNA from 1 species